UUUUUUUUUUGUCUUUUUUUGCCUUUUUUUCUAGGGCCGCUCCUGAGGCAUAUGGAGGUUCCCAGGCUAGGGGUCGAAUCAGAGCCGUAGCCACCGGCCUACGCCAGAGCCACAGCAACACCAGAUCCGAGCCACAUCUGUGACCUACACCACAGCUCAUGGCAAGGCCGGAUCCUUAACCCACUGAGCAAGGCCAGGGAUCAAACCUGCAACCUCAUGGUUCCUAGUCAGAUUCAUUAACCACUGCACCACGACGGGAACUCCCCAAGGAGUACUGAUUAUUAAUUAAAUCAUGUUUCAGGAUCCCAGGCCAGGGAUCACCGUGUACCCAGGUCCCCGUCAGCACCCUGGAAGAAGGAGGACAGUCAGAAGGAGGCACAUCCAGUUCAGGUCUUCCCAGAAACAUGCCCUCUGCCUGGCCGUGGUCCAGGCUGACACCCGGGAAAUUCCACCGGCAAUUCCAGGUUUAGUUCUGGAUGGGGAAGCAGCUGCCAAAGUCACAGUCUGGUGGGUCCUGAUUCUGGCCUUCAUCUCUUCCGUCCCGUGCUGACUCCUCGAGCCCCCCUCCAACCCCCCCAACUCCCCCACCCCCGAUGCAGCACCAGCUCAAUGUUGCUGGGCUCACAGCUUCUAAAGGUCCUUACGCAGCCGGGCCCAGCCUCUCCCCACCCGGCAGACACUCUUGGAAGGGACAGAGAACAGCAUCCUGCCUCCGAUGACUCAGGAAGGCAGACCAAGGCUGAGGGAUGGUCCCCUGGGGUGGGGGAGGGGCAGCAGUCACAUCUGCUGAGAUGCUGGGCACACAUCUCCCACAGGACAGUGCCUCCAGGCAGGAAGCAGGGACCCCUGGUGACGACAGCCUCCACCAGGCCGCAUGGACCCCUCAUGCGCUCCAGCUCCCCCAGUUAUUUUGUGGGGUGGAGGGCCAUCUGUUUCUGCUGAGCAUGGGCUGUCCGUGUCCAGCUGGAAGCCGCCUCCUCGGUGACAGCCCAGGUCCCUCCACAGCAAGGGCUUGUCACAGGCCCUUCAAGUCCCCACAGGUGGCCCCAUCCAGGCAACCAAACCAUCAGAAGCCUCAUUCACCAAGCCGGUGGCUGGGGAGGUGGAUAUGCUGGCAUUCAGAACCUCCCCCCCCCUGCCACCCAGCCCCCACCUGCUUGAACAUACAGACUGUCACCCCCCAGGGACAUUCAAAAUGCUUGGUGCAGCCUGAAAGGCUGAAAUGUCCUGUGAAUUUGUUCUUCAGCUUUGAACCUGUUCAAUUCCCUCCCUUAAUAAGCAGGUGAUACUCAAGGAGUGGUCCAGGGACAGGCAGCAUCAGUAUCACAAGCAUCACAAGCAGAGGGUUAGAAUGCAGAUUCUCAUUAACCCCAGACCUGCUAAAGCAGAAUCCACAUUGUAACACGAUCCCCAGGUUGGGGCAAGGCCAUUCCAGUUUGAGAAGUGCUGAGCUAAGCCCUACACCGGGGAAGGCAGCCAUGAAAAACUGGAACUUGAAUCUUGGCUCCUCAACUUGGUAACUAGGUAACUAAGGUGAAUAAUCCCCCUCUGCUCUCUGAGCCUAUCUUUUCAUCUGUAAAAUGGGAAUGAUAAUAACAUGGUUGUUAGCAGGUUUAAGUCAUUCCUGCACCCAAUUUUUGCUUGCCUGCUAUGCGCCAGGAACUAUGAGAGGAACUGGAGAUAUGAGAGGAAGGAGAGAAAAGACAGCCUCCUGCCUCACGGGGCUAUGGUUACUUUGGAGAAAUACCAAAGAAUUACACAAGCAAAUGACAACUUACGUUUUUAGUAACUGCCACAAAGGAGAGGUACAGAGUGUGGCAGAGAGCCUGGGGAAGGGGGUGCCAAUGGAGUUAUAUCUGCACUGACAUACAAUGACAAGUAGGUGAAGGUGAGGUGGCAUAAGAACAUUCCAGAUUGGUGAUCACGUUUAAAACUGAAGUACCUAGCACACAGUAGGGGCCCAGUAAGGAAGGGAGAGAAUGUGUAUUAGUUAUUGAUAGCUGUGUAACAAAUAUGCCCACCCCUCCCCCACCCCGGCCAACUGCUCUGUGUUUUGUUUGUGUGUGUCUUUUUAGGGCCACACCUGCAGCAUAUAGAAGUUCCCAGGCUAGGGGUCUAAUCGGAGCUAUAGCUGCCGACGUACACCACAGCCACAGCAACACGGGAUCUGAGACACAUCUGCGACCUAUACCACAGCUCAUGGCAAUGCCAGUGAGCGAGGCCAGGGAUCGACCCUUGUCCUCAUGGAUACUAGCUGGGUUUGUUAACCGCUGAGCCUCAACAGGAACUCUUUUUUUUUCUUUUUGUGCUGCUCUGUAUUUUGAGUUAAAAUUGGGUGUGCAGUUACCUUUUCUCCUUUGGUAAAUUGUAAGCUCAGUGAAGAAAGAAGCUUUGUUUGUACUCUCUCUUCCCCCCAACCAUCUCCUAGGCGUCGCGUACUAUUAGGGACUCAAUAAAUACUUUUGAAUUAGUUUGUGUGUCCCCAGGCUUCUAGGUCAUUUCCUCAUUCCUAAUGAACACUCAGGAUGCUGGGAGGGCUGGGAGGGCUGGGGCAACAGCAUGGACUUCUUCCAGAUGUGACAGGGGAGGUGAAAACCGAUGAAGCAAAGUGAGUUAAGACAGAGGGAGUUUUCAAAGUAAUUGGAAAAACUAGACAGACCAUGGAAGAAUUAUAAACAGAAAGCCCAAUUCCACCGUAGCCCACCAACGCUCAAGGGACAAACGGCAAACGGGAGGGACAAGGAGAGAAAACUCGAAAGACCUGGGUCGGAAACAAAUUCAUUUUAAUGGGACAUUCCAGUUCCGGAGAAAAAUGGGAACAGAAAGUAGAAAUCAUAGUUCAGGAGAUAAAUAGGUGCCAGUGUCAUCCAGGCGCAAAAUGGGGCAGAAGGAACCAGACAAGCAAUUGGUUUAAUUUUUUAGAUUAAUUGUGAGCAGUCAAUAAUGUGACUCAUUCGGGGACCCGAAGGCGUCUAAACUGUGCUGAGUAAUCUGCUUAGGUUGGUAAUUAUUGUUUGCAUUCAUGGAAUUAAGGCCACAGAAAGGUGGUUUCGAGAAAGCCCCACAGAGCUAGGGGACCGUAAUCUCAGCUUCCCACAGCACAUCUGUGCCCCGGAGUCAGGCAUCGAUAUUGUGGUUACUCUGCAGCUACAAGAAAAAAAAAAUCUUUCUUUCACCUCCUGCUUGGCAGCUGAUUCACUUUUCCCUUCUCAUUUUACUAAAAUUCAAAAAUCAGUUAGGGGAUUUAAAAAGCACAAAAAACGACAAAUCAGAAACUCAUUGUGCAUAGGCUCACCAUCCAGAAUUCAUCUCUGGUCAUUUCUAACCCUGUGUGCCUUCUUUGCGGUUUUUAAGAAAAAUCACAUUGCAAACAUGAAACACACUUCUCCUAAAGAAAUCAAUGAAUGCAGACAACUGAAGACACAAAAGUGCAAAGAUUACCCCCAAUUCUACCAUUGGUGGACACUUCCAAACAUCUUUCUAAGCUUGUGUGUGUGUGUGUCUGUGUGUGAUCUGUUUCCAUCGCUUCGGUAUUCCCAGCGCCUAGAAGAGUGUCUGGCAAAGAGAAGGCACCCAGUACAGUAUCUGUUAAAAGACAGCUGGCUGAACAGACUGUCGGGGCAGCCAGGGCAAUAUUACAGCAAAGCCGCCCUUCAGGGAUACGCACCACCGGCCUCCCCAGCCCAGCCCACUGCCAUUCACAGGGGACACUUGAGUCUGUACAGCAGGGGUAGGUGCAGAGGAGUGAAGGUGAGGAAGCCGAGACUGACAAAGCAAGCCUGAGGGCUGUUUCGGAAGGCCCGUCUGUACAAGGCUGGAGGCUUCGGAUGUUCCAGCUCCUUUCCAGACAUAGGGUAUUAUGUGUACAGCCCAUUGGCGUCAAGCUGAUGAGCUCUGUGCGGCCACAGGCCACGGUCAGCCAGCUCAGGCCACCUCUGGCUGCUUCCCGCGGAGGACGUUGGUGUCUUGAUGACCUGCAACCCCAUUCACAAUCCUGUCACAGCCGGGCAGCUCUGCUGGAUGCGUUUUAAGGCAGGGUUCCGAUUAGGGUGGAAGGAGGUCACUCUGGGGACAGUGUGGAGGCCAACUGCAGGCGAGGGGGCUUGGAGGUCUGGAUUAGCAUUAGAGGAUGCAUCCUUCAGCGAUGGCAGGGCAGUGAGGUCGGGAGGAGAUGGAGGUGUUUAAAUGAUGCCUGAAAUGUGCUUCAGCCUCACACAGGACCGGGAGCUGGGGAAGGGGAUCCAGGUUUGGAUGGAGCAGGACCCACCAAGGGUUAAUGAUGGUGGGGGUUGGGGGAGGGGUAUGUGAGAGAUCUGUUAUGCUGUGUACUUCUCUGCUUGUUCAAAAUUCUCUCCAAUCGAAAGUUAAAGAGACAGAGAGACACAAUGUCAAAGUCAGAUAGUUUU
rnacentral:lncRNA from 1 species